AGAGAUGAUUUAAGCCGGCUAAGUAACCAUAUCGCUUUAGAUUUGAUUGAUUCGAACUCAUCCUCAACUCAAAAUAACUAAGCUAUAUUUACAAAGCCAAUAACUUAGACAUUAAUUAAGGAACUGCAAGUCCUCACGACUUCACAAUCCAUUUCUUGUCCGAAACACUCCAAAAUAUUAAAUUCUGAGCUAAUGUGCCAAUAUUAGAAAAUGACACAAGUGAAAGGAAUUUGCCAUUACCUGAAGAAGUUCUUCAAUCACAUCCUCCAUAGUAAUGACA
rnacentral:lncRNA from 1 species